AGAGCGAACGCUGGCGGCAGGCUUAACACAUGCAAGUCGAGCGGGCGUAGCAAUACGUCAGCGGCAGACGGGUGAGUAACGCGUGGGAACAUACCUUUUGGUUCGGAACAACACAGGGAAACUUGUGCUAAUACCGGAUAAGCCCUUACGGGGAAAGAUUUAUCGCCGAAAGAUUGGCCCGCGUCUGAUUAGCUAGUUGGUGAGGUAAUGGCUCACCAAGGCGACGAUCAGUAGCUGGUCUGAGAGGAUGAUCAGCCACAUUGGGACUGAGACACGGCCCAAACUCCUACGGGAGGCAGCAGUGGGAAUAUUGGACAAUGGGCGCAAGCCUGAUCCAGCCAUGCCGCGUGAGUGAUGAAGGCCCUAGGGUUGUAAAGCUCUUUGUGCGGGAAGAUAAUGACGGUACCGCAAGAAUAAGCCCCGGCUAACUUCGUGCCAGCAGCCGC
rnacentral:rRNA from 1 species